AGCAGCCGCGGUAAUUCCAGCUCCAAUAGCGUAUAUUAAAGUUGCUGCAGUUAAAAAGCUCGUAGUUGAAUUUCGGGAUCAAUAUGUUGGUCGUGCCUCGGUACGUACUAGCUUAUUGGUUUCUUCCUUCUGACGAACCAUAAUGUCAUUUAUUUGGUGUUAUGGGGAAUCAGGACUGUUACUUUGAAAAAUUAGAGUGUUUAAAGCAGGCUCACGCUUGAAUACAUUAGCAUGGAAUAAUGAAAUAGGACGUUUGAUUCUAUUUUGUUGGUUUCUAGGAUCGACGUAAUGAUUAAUAGGGAUAGUUGGGGGCAUUAGUAUUCAAUUGUCAGAGGUGAAAUUCUUGGAUUUAUUGAAGACUAACUACUGCGAAAGCAUUUGCCAAGGAUGUUUUCAUUAAUCAAGAACGAAAGUUAGGGGAUCGAAGACGAUCAGAUACCGUCGUAGUCUUAACCAUAAACUAUGCCGACUAGGGAUCGGAUGAUGUUAAUUUUUUAAUGUACUCAUUCGGCGCCUUAAC
rnacentral:misc_RNA from 1 species